AGCCAGAAUGAGUUGUUGAAAGGAAGGCUUGCUCUUGAUGCUCUAACGUCCUUAUAUCUUUGUCCAAACCUCUAUAUCAAACAGAAACUCAUUCCAGGGGCCAGUGAGGGUGGGGAGAGUAGAAGAGACCCCGGGCAGCUAGCUUCUCCUACAGGGAAUUUCUCCAUUCUUCCUUUCCUGUCAGCCCUCCCAGCUGGAGCUCCAGCUUGGCUCUGGCAAGGAGCAGGGAGAGAGGAGCAAGGGUCAAAUACUGAGACUUGUGACGGACAGAGGACUGGGGACCUGAGCGACACUCCCAGAGAUAGAGACUGACUGAUGUGAAGGAAGAGAUGGGGGUGCUUGGAUGGCUGGGAGAUGGAGGGAUAAGGACAUAGAUUUCUGCUGAGAGAAGGACAGGCCCUUUUCCAGAAACAGCUGGAGAAGCGACCAUCUCGCCUUCCACUCAGGAUGUUCCUGGGAGGGCCUGCCUUGGCUUCAGGAGAUUCUCCUGCAUGGACCUUGGCUGACUUCAUGGCCUCUCUGUUCUCCCCUCCCAGGGCUCCUCGCUGCUCCAGCUCUGGCCCCUCCUCCUCUCCCUGAUUAGCACUUGGCAUGAAUGGAUGGGGCCACUUCCCAUACCCAUUCCCAACUCCAUACUCUUUUCCUCCUGGUUUUUCAUGCAGACAUUCCCCAUGCCAGGUGAAAAAGACGGGCACUUCUGAGUCAGCACAGCUGAGAAGCCAGAGCAUCUGGGAAGAAGACUGGAUGAACAGUCCAGGUGAGAGACCUAGACCUGACGUUGAACCCUAGGGGAUGAAGCCUGGGAAGAGCAGAGAGGACCCAAAGGAGGAGCCGGCAGUCAUUAGGAGAUGAAGAAAGUUACCCUUAUCCCCCAUCAUCAUUCUGAAAGACCCAAGUCAAAGUGUUUGUGUGUGCAUGGAGAGAGCAGAGCAAACACUGAAUUAUAUCUAUAGUGUCCAAGAGCC